rnacentral:rRNA from 1 species
UCUACGGGUGGCAGCAGUGAGGAAUAUUGGUCAAUGGGCGCGAGCCUGAACCAGCCAAGUAGCGUGAAGGAUGACUGCCCUACGGGUUGUAAACUUCUUUUAUAAAGGAAUAAAGUGAGGCACGUGUGCCUUUUUGUAUGUACUUUAUGAAUAAGGAUCGGCUAACUCCGUGCCAGCAGCCGCGGUAAUACGGAGGAUCCGAGCGUUAUCCGGAUUUAUUGGGUUUAAAGGGAGCGUAGAUGGGUUGUUAAGUCAGUUGUGAAAGUGUGCGGCUUAACCGUAAAAUUGCAAUUGAUACUGGCAGCCUUGAGUACAGUUGAGGUAGGCGGAAUAAGUUAAGUAGCGGUGAAAUGCUUAGAUAUAACUUAGAACCCCGAUAGCGAAGGCAGCUUACCAGACUGUUACUGACGCUGAAGCACGAGAGCGUGGGUAGCGAACAGGAUUAGAUACCCCUGUAGUC